GAUAUCGAUGAAAGAACUUGGAUAAUAUAUUGGAUCGUGAAAGGAGUCACUCCGUAGAUCUUGCUGGGGAUGUGGUUCAAAAUUUGAAGGACUUCUCCCGGACUAUGUACAAAAAGGUACAAAAGCUUAUAUUGAAGAGUUUAAAGCCAAUUACAGAGGAUC